UUGUAUUCAAUUUGUAGACGGGUGGG
rnacentral:piRNA from 1 species